UGGGGAAUAUGAGGGCAAUGGACGCAAGUCUCGACCCAGCAACGCUGCGUGAAGGAUGAAUGCUUCGGGUUGUACACUUCUUUUGUCAGGGAACAGUACACGAUGGUACCUGACGAAUAAGGCGACGGCUAACUACGUG
rnacentral:rRNA from 1 species